rnacentral:lncRNA from 1 species
GAACUGUGUUCUUUGUAUCUUUGUAAGCUCCAGUACAAUACAUCCAUCCCACCCCACCACUCCCACCACCCCGCAUGAUUUCAAUCACUAAUUGAAUGACCCUUGAUAAAGAUCCAGAAAACUUGAAGCUACUACUCCAACACCACAUCUGCCUGAAUGCUAUCAUGCUUCCUGCCAUGAUGACAAUGGACUAAACUUGUGAGCCUUAUACAGAUCUGCUCUGAGUUAGCUUCUACCAUAUACAGCACUAUAAGAGAUGACUGAGUACCAAGACUAAAGGUACCUGGAUGAUUUUUUCCUCCCGGGUACUGCCUUGAAUUCCUGCCCUGACCUUGUUGGAUGAUGUACUGCCAGCUGUGAGAUGAAAUAAACCGUUUUCUCCUCAGCUGCCUUUUGGUCAUGGUGUUUAUUACAGCAGUAG